AUUGAACGCUGGCGGCAUGCCUUACACAUGCAAGUCGAACGGCAGCACGGGUGCUUGCACCUGGUGGCGAGUGGCGAACGGGUGAGUAAUACAUCGGAACAUGUCCUGUAGUGGGGGAUGGCCCGGCGAAAGCCGGAUUAAUACCGCAUACGAUCUACGGAUGAAAGCGGGGGACCUUCGGGCCUCGCGCUAUAGGGUUGGCCGAUGGCUGAUUAGCUAGUUGGUGGGGUAAAGGCCUACCAAGGCGACGAUCAGUAGCUGGUCUGAGAGGACGACCAGCCACACUGGGACUGAGACACGGCCCAGACUCCUACGGGAGGCAGCAGUGGGGAAUUUUGGGCAAUGGGCGAAAGCCUGAUCCAGCAAUGCCGCGUGUGUGAAGAAGGCCUUCGGGUUGUAAAGCACUUUUGUCCGGAAAGAAAUACUUGGCCCUAAUACGGUCGGGGGAUGACGGUACCGGAAGAAUAAGCACCGGCUAACUACGUG
rnacentral:rRNA from 1 species